GUGUGUGUGUGUGCAUGCAGGCACAAGCGGAUGACUCAGUGGUGAUGGCAUAUGUAUACACCCAGGACAGUUGAUAAUAGUAAAGGACAUUGACUACACUGCCUUGCAGCUACCGAAGGUCAUGAGGGCUGUGGAAGCCAAGACAGAUCUUCCCCUUUCAAUCUGAGUCAUUUCCUGAGACAGAUGUUGGUCAUUCAUUCAUUUGUUCGUUAACAAAUAUUUAUUGAGUGUCUGCCAUGUGUUCGGCACUGAACUAUAGGUUAGGCAUACUGUGUGAACAAACCAAAGUCCCUGUUUUCACUCUGCAAGCAAAGGCGGGGCCACGAGACAGGAAGCUGGGCCGAUGGUGGUGGUUUGUAUGAGGGUGGAAGUGUGGUAGAAGUAGUGAGCAGUGAUCAGAACUUCAAUAUAAUUUGAAGGUCAGGCCAACUGGAUUUGCUGAUGAAUGCAUAAGGGGUGUGAGAUGGCAAAAAAGAGAGGAGUCCAGGUUUUUGGCUUGAACAACUGGAAGGAGCUUGUGCCACUUAAUGAGAAGGGGAAGAUGUUAUGGCCAGUCAUGGUUUCCUGAGAGGCUGUGAAGUCGACUGUCCGCAUUCAGGUCUGUUUGACUUUGGCUCCAAGCUGCCACUAGGACACUUCCUUACCAGAUGGAGGGUUCCGACAGGAGGAGGCACCAUCCAUCUGACUGGGCCCAAUCCCUCAUGUAUCAGGUCACCGAGGGCCUCAGGUGCCACCUGUCUAUAGCCUUCCCCCCUCCCCCCAGGUGCCAGUUCCUGGGCGUGGUGCUUGAUCCUGGCAGAUCCUGGCUGAAGCCAGCUGGAGCCAGGGACUCCCACUGUGCCCCAGCUGCCGCCUGCCCUCCCACCCACAGGCAGAGGAACAAGCUUAACCCUUUGGACACCAUACAGGUAGCCAGAGUUUGUGGUUGCAUUCUAGCUCUUGAGUAUUACACUGUUCCAGCACACUU